rnacentral:rRNA from 1 species
AUUGAACGCUGGCGGCAGGCCUAACACAUGCAAGUCGAGCGGAUGAAGGGAGCUUGCUCCUGGAUUCAGCGGCGGACGGGUGAGUAAUGCCCAGGAAUCUGCCUGGUAGUGGGGGAUAACGUCCGGAAACGGGCGCUAAUACCGCAUACGUCCUGAGGGAGAAAGUGGGGGAUCUUCGGACCUCACGCUAUCAGAUGAGCCUAGGUCGGAUUAGCUAGUUGGUGGGGUAAAGGCCUACCAAGGCGACGAUCCGUAACUGGUCUGAGAGGAUGAUCAGUCACACUGGAACUGAGACACGGUCCAGACUCCUACGGGAGGCAGCAGUGGGGAAUAUUGGGCAAUGGGCGAAAGCCUGAUCCAGCCAUGCCGCGUGUGUGAAGAAGGUCUUCGGAUUGUAAAGCACUUUAAGUUGGGAGGAAGGGCAGUAAGUUAAUACCUUGCUGUUUUGACGUUACCAACAGAAUAAGCACCGGCUAACUUCGUG